GAUGAACGCUGGCGGCGUGCCUAACACAUGCAAGUCGAGCGAACAGAUCAGGAGUUUGCUCCUCUGACGUUAGCGGCGGACGGGUGAGUCACAUGUGGAUAACCUACCUAUAAGACUGGGAUAAUUUCGGGAAACCGGAGCUAAUACCGGAUAAUAUAUUGAACCGCAUUGUUCAAUAGUGAAAUACGGUUUUUCUGUCACUUAUAGCUGGAUCCGCGCCGCAUUAGCUAGUUGGUAAGGUAACGGCUUACCAAGGCGACGAUGCGUAGCCGACCUGAGCGGGUGGUCGGCCACACUGGAGGUGAGGCGCGGUCCAGACACCUGCGGGGAGCCACAGUCGAGAAUCUUACGCAAUGGGCGAGAGCCUGACAGAGCAAAGGCGCGUGAGGUAUGAAGGUGCUCGGAUCGGGAAGCUCUGUUAUUAGGGGGGAACAAAUGUGUAAGUAACUGUGCAGGUAUUGACGGUACCUGGUCAAAAAGCCACGGCUAACUACGUG
rnacentral:rRNA from 1 species